CUUGUUAUAAUCUUUGGCCAAACGGAACUAUCGCCAAAGUUUUUUGAGUCAGAGCUCUCAUCUUUUUCUACGCUAAUAGACUCGAUAAUAGAUUCCACAUGAAAUACAUUUUCUGAACAAUACAGUUUAUUCAAUUUUUCUUUAUCGAAUUUGACUUCUACGUGUAUUGAUUGCUCUAUAAUAGAAACAAAAGUAUGCACGAAGUCUAAAGCAUUAUUUUUAUGAUCGGAUUGAAUCGAUCGUAACCGUUGUCGAUAUCAAGAAUUUCGAUUUCAGACCAUUCCGACAGGUCUUUUUUUACGUUUUCUGAAAUUGAUUCGUCG